GCUUGCUUCCAUGUUAUUGUGAGGAACCUUUUUUAAACUCUACAUUAUUUCUUGUCAAUUAUUCAUUGUAGCAGAAUAGUUCUUGCACCUCGCUCAUUCGUGCACUUUUGACGGAUAAAAGGCCUGAAGAAAUCCCAAUGUUUGUGGAAUCAUUGCUAAGCAAGCUUGUGGAUGAAGUUGAGAAUCGCUUUUCCAGCCUUGAACUGACAAAAACAACUCCAAAAGAUGUAGUUGCGGCUACUUCACAAAGAAUGAAAUCCUCAUAUGAGGACAUGGAAGAAAUGAGAGGC